UACGUAGGGAGCAAGCGUUGUCCGGAAUCAUUGGGCGUAAAGCGCGCGUAGGUGGCUUCGUAAGUCCGUUGUGAAAGUCAAAGGCUCAACCUUUGAAAGCCGAUGGAUACUGCGGAGCUAGAGUACGGAAGAGGCGAGUGGAAUUCCUGGUGUAGCGGUGGAAUGCGCAGAUAUCAGGAGGAACACCAAUAGCGAAGGCAGCUCGCUGGGACGUUACUGACACUGAGGCGCGAAAGCGUGGGAGA
rnacentral:rRNA from 1 species